GGAGUGAUAUUGGCCAAAUGAUGUUGUCACAUUGUGUGCAUGUACAAAUGUGUAGCAACAAACCCCAUCAUAGGUACAACUGUAAUGCACCAGUGGGAAAAAUGUGGAAAAGAGGGAGAGAGAGAGAGAGAGAGGGAGUGGGAGAGAGGGCCAUUCACUCUUGUGUUGCGAGAGAAGGGCCAAGCCAGGGACUGGAAUGAGUUGAAAAGUAUUGAAGGUAGGAAGUCACACUCGUUUUCUCCUUGUGUAGGGACCUCUGUUCUGGGAGCCGUACCCAAGAAAGGACAGGGAAAACAUAGAUAUUCCAAAGAACUAUUUUAAUUUUUUUAUUUGUUCUUUAUAGAUACACAUGACAGUAGAGUGUAUUUUGACAUAUGCCUACGUGGAGUACAACUUUCCAUUCUGUGGUUGUACAUGAUGUGGAGUUACACCGAUCGUGUAUUCAUAUACGAACAUAAGAAAGUGAUGUCCAACUCAUUCUACUGUCUUUUCUAUUCCCAUCCCCUUUCCCUUCAUCCCCCUUUCUCUAACCCAAUGCAUUUCUAUUCUCCCCGCCCCCCUUGUGUGUUAGCAUCCUCAUAUCAGAGAGAACUUUCAGCUAUGAAGAAGAAUGAAAUUAUUUGCCAGUAAAUGGAUAGAACUGGAGACUAUCAUGCUAAGUGAAGUAAGUCGAAUCCCCCCAAAUCAAAGAAUGUUAUUUUUUUUAAAGGAGAAAAAGGGGUUGUUUCAACAGGAGCAAAGAAGCUGGGUUGGGAUCGUUGAAAAAUGGGCAGCUGGGACGUGUAUUGACUCCACCAAAUGCUUCUUGUAUAAUGGGGAACUGCAAGGGCUGAAUGAGUGGUCCAGGCGGGCUGCUGUAGGAAAACAGUAACAGCAAACAUCUCCAUGAUUUCCCAGUCUUAAUUAGAAUAGGAAGAGAGGAAGUGGACUUAAACAUAAAGCCGAAGGGAUUCAGGUUAAGUGGUUACUGAAAAACAUCCAGUGACCUGAAGGUAAAAUAUUCUCCACUGGGCCAUGGAUCUGAGUGUUUUGUUGUAAAUGAAGCAUUUUGGGAAUACAACUUCAAAAACUUCACAAACCGUCCUCUCUGUUGUGAACAGUGCACUUGCACAGAUAAGGAUACCGGGCCGAAUGGUGUAGGAGCCCCUGAAAACUUUGUCCUUACAAGACUCUAAACUGGAAUAUACCAACCGGCCUGGGAUUCUUCCAGGUGUGGAACUGCUCAGCAUCUCAAGGCCAGAUUAGAGGACAAUCGAGUGGAAUGGUUCCACCUGCCAAUGAAACUGAAUUUUUGAAGUUUAGGCACUGCAAAUUGCAUUCACUUUAUUUCUGGGUGCUGCUGGGGAUUGAACCCAGGGCCUUGCUCAUGCUAGGCAAGUGCUCUGCCCCUGAGCUACAUCCCCAGCUCUUCAUUCACGUUUACCCCCUACAGAAUCUCAGAGCUUGCUAGCACAUCCCGGGUGUCCAUGAAGUGUGGACAAGUGGGUUCAAGUGCCCUACCCACACCUUCCCCAGGCCCCCAGAUGGACAAGUGGGUUCAAGUGCCCUACCCACACACCUUCCCCAGGCUCCAGGGGCAGAGUGCUCACACUGCCACCAGGAGGGACCUGCCAUUCACAUGCCAACGCAUUUUAUUUUCAGGCUUUAAAUAAAGGUACAAAAAACAGUGUUGGGGGGGCACUUAAGAAGUACAGCAUUUUAUUUUGAGUAACAAUUAGGAAUGGUUAGGUAUUUAAAUCAUCUAAAGUUUCUCUUUUGUAGGAUCCCUGCAAAUACUGUACAGCAUGCACUUUUCACAAGAGCUGAGAGUGGGUACUGACAAUGUGGAAGUGCUAUGUUCAUUAUCUUUCAAAAGUGCAUCCAUUUCAUUUCAGAUACAAUAUACUAUUAGUAACAAUGCAGCUCUUUAAAAAGACACUUUCACUGGAAAAAUUGCACGCCUCCUCUUUCUGCAGGGUUAAGGUUGAUGAGGAAGGUCUAACGGAUCAGUUUCUGUUGGGGGAGAAAUCAAGAAGCUAAUGCGGGUCCUGCCUGAAUUGAAGGCCCCAGAAGCUCUGCGUGAUGAGAUUAAAAACAUCCCUGAUAAAAAGGGCAGCUGGGAUGCCCGGCUGGCGGCGGGCUUGCCAUCAUCUCCUUACUCUUUCUUCUGCCGUGAUUUGGAAGGGUUUCAAAACAUGGUGAGUACAUUUUGUUGUUGUUGAUGAGGGAUUCGUGCAUCUUGGAAGGUACUGGCCUGGCUCAUAGGCAGGGAAAGUGAGAUGUCUUUCAAGGCCUGGCUUUGUUAUCAGGACUCAAGAAAAUGCUUAUGUAAAUCCCACCCCCAUGUAGGAAGUAUCUGUUCAGAUGCCUCAGAUGGAGUCCUUGGUUUCUGGCCUGCUUUUGCCACCCUUACCCACCAAUCCACCCACCCACUUCCUUCUCCAAUCUCAGGAGAGUCACAGUAACCGAUUUGGGAUUUAUAUUUAACACCUGCAAAUCUUGGCGAAGAGAUCUCCCUCUUUUCUCCUUCACCAACACCCUCCCUCUCACCCAUCCAAAUACUUUGAGUCAGUGCCUCCCAUAUCAUGCCAUUGAAAAGCGGAGGAAAAAACUUAGCCCAGUUACUGUGAAGGCCUGAAACGGUUGUUUCCGGUACUAGGGAUUGAACACAAGGCCUCACGCACACUAGGUGAGUGUGCUCCCCCUGAGCUGUAUCCUCAGCAGUUUUUUUACAUUUUGAAACAAGGUCUCCCUAAGUUGUCAAGGCUGUUCUCAAACUGGAGAUCCUCCUGCCUCAGACUCCUUCAUAGCUGGGAUUAUAGGCAUGUGCCACCAAAUAUAAAAUAAGUACUUCAUCUUUUUUUGGGGGGGGUCCUGGGGAUUAAACUCGGGGGCACUCAACCACUAAGCCACAUCCCCAGCCCUAUUUUGUAUUUUAUCUAGAGACAGGGUCUUACUGAGUUGAUUUGCUGAGGCUGUCUUUGAACUCUUGAUCCUCCAGUCUCAGCCUUCUGAGCCUCUGGGAUUACAGUUGUGCACCACCACACCCAGAGAGUGCCGCAUCUUUUUGAUGACACAGAAUUCCCAACCCUGAAACCCACAGUGAACAAGACACCAUUGUGGUGAAAUUGUCCAGCAGCGAAACAGUUCUUCACUUUGAUUGGUAUUUCUACCUGGCACAAUGCAGAAAGGCUUGUGGCCAGGAUCAGAUAAAUGCUCAUGAAAUGAGCAUAUUUACAGUUUUUAGAGACAUGACCAAAUCUGAAACAAGGAAGAAGUCUGGCAUGCCAAACAAUGGCAAACCUAUUAUUAAAUAAUCUUUUCUUAUAAAUUUUUGUUUCUAUUUACUGACAUCUGAAUUCAAGAGGCAAGUACAAAUUGGACCUUGGUGGCUGGCCCAGGAGUGAGGGGAGAGCUCAUCUCAGUGCCUUUCCUCCCCCUACCCAUGUGGAGCACCCACCUUGUUUUUCCAAGGGCUCCCUUGGGUGGACUAUUCUGGUGGCUGACUCCUGUGGGGCUCAUAAUUCCCAACGUCUAUUCUUCUCUCUCUCUUUUUUUUUUUUUGUAGGGGGGAUGGUACCAGGGACUGGACUCAAGGACACUCGACCACUGAGCCACAUCCCCAGCCCCGCUUUGUGUUUUAUUUAGAGACAGGGUCUCACUGAGUUGCUUAGCGCCUCGCUUUUGCUGAGGUUGGCUUUGAACUCUUGAUUCUCCUGGCUCAGCCUCCAGAGUUGCUGGGAUUACAGGCGUGCCCCACUGUGCCCGGUUCCUUCCUUCUCUUUCUUCUUCAUGGUCACAAUAAAAUGUCAGGGGGGACAGACCUCAUUAGCCCAGGUCUCUGUCUUAGGGUCAGCCUGGGUCUGACAGAGUGACAGCAAGCACUCCCGUGAAGGUGAACAGAGCCCGAAUGUUGCUAGGUGCACAGGUAUUUGGCAUCCCUCCUCUGUGUGGUUCCUGUUCCUCCUUUCUGGUCUGAGUCUGGCCUAAUACAGUGUUUUCUCAGUGAGGCUGGGAAGUGAGGAUCUCAUCAUGUCUAACCUGCUGGACCCUAGGACACACGCCAGGUGUUAGCCACUAGGCAGGCACUAUGAGAGAAGAUUCCCUGUGCUCCACGGGAAAGGGCUGCUUCCCCUUCAAAGGCUGUUAACCGGCUUAGUCAAAGUUGUUUGUAUUUAAUUCAGAUAAAGCCAUCCAGAGACACUUAGAGGAGCCAGCCAAGAUGGCUGAGUCACUCAAUGCACUCUUUUUUAGGGGACCUAGUGUAAACUCUGUCCAUUGUACUACUAAAUUGCGCACCCAGAGGCAUCUCUGUGCACCACUUUUUGUGAUCAUGUGAUGGGUGACCGUGAACCGAGCAUGCACAGUAACUGCCCACCUCCACGUAUGCUGAUGAAUCUGCAUGAAUGCAUGAAUAUGCAUGAAGUCUCCCCAAUAACAGCCCUUUACUUUCUUUGUUCGGGGAGCUACUGCUUUGAGGCUUCCCUCCAGUGCACUUCUUACCUGCUGCAAGUAACACACCUUUCCUUACUCUUUUCACUCAUGGUUGGGAUGAUCAGCUUGGUCCUCACCAAGGGGCAAACCCAUCGUGUUUGGUUGUGAGAGGACAGGCAGCCCAUCCAAUGCGUUCCUUUACAGCGAGAGUGAAAGAGGCAGAGAGAUCCCCACUCCAUCUCUUCAGCUGCAUCUGUUCAUCUGUGGGCAACAUGGAUGCACCUUCACUGUGAACUUGGGAGAACCUGGUAGGAGAAUUUUCAAGCAGGGUAGAGACACUCCUGAAGAGCGCUCGCUUAAGGGAGCAUCAGGGGAUAAAGACAGAGCCUUUGGAACCAAACAGUCUCAAGUUAACUUUCAGGCUUCUUUGGCUACUUGCUGUGUACUUUUGAGCAAUUCCUUCACCUCUCUGAGCCUGGAUUUCCCCUGUCUGCAUGCUAUACAAAGUAGGCUUUACCCCUAGAUUUCUGUAGGAAUUAAGUAAGAUCAUUUAUGAAGCAUCUAGGACCAUGACUAACAUCUACUACAUAUUCGAUAGAUAUUAAUUCCUUUUCAUGUCUUGGAGCUCUUUGAAUCACUUAACUUACUCAUAUAUAGUAGCCUUGAGAGAUAUCAAUUUAAUUUAAUAUAUUUGUUAUCAUGCAUUUGUAUCAAUAUCUUAUUACUAUGUAACAUACAGUGAUCAUGUGUUAAUAUUUUACUAUAUUAAAAUAAUGAAUAUUUGAUAUUGGUCAAACACACCUAAUGAACAUAUGUUGGGUGUCUAUUACGUGUGAAGCAUGAGAAUCAUUGGCCUAUUCAUUGCAACUCAGGUUAUUUAAGCAUUUUGAGCAAAUAUUCAGGUCUGUUUAUUCAAAAAAUGGCAAUAACAGCAUAUCACAAAUCAACUGAAAGUUCCCUUGAAAAUGCGGCAGAUGCAUUUGGAAACAGCUGAAUUCUAAAGAAUUCAGAUUCCCAAAGUGGGAGAGGAUUGCCAAGAGUUUGGAAGCUGGAUCUUUAGUUGGUGUGUAGGGAAAUAAGGAUCAUCUCUUCAGUCACUGGAUUUCUGUUCAUAGUCAUUAAAGUGAAAUAUGAAAUAUUUAUGGAAAAAUUACAUAAAUCUUUUCUUUCCUCAGAGGACUUUAGCAGUACAGUCUCCCCAACAUCAAACAUUCCUGUGAAAAAUUAAAAAUCUAGUCAAUCAACCAGCUGUUUCCAAAAAUAUGGUGCAGACCAUCUGAGUUUUCACUUUUUGGGUGAAGAAAUACAUCACUUAGACACAGCCUAGAGCACAUCAUGCUCAGAGCUCACUGAAAAAAUAGCAUUCCUGUGGUACCGAGAGAGAAAUAUUAGUAGCAGAUUCUUUUCUAUCAGGUGACUUGAGCAUAUACUUAUGCUCAUUUCAAACCCUCAUGUACCAUGCAUCUGGACCCCGAGUCUGUGACAGUGACCUGGGCCUAAUGCCCCACGGUGCUAGGAAUCUUCUCUGUGUUUCUGAAACAUGGGCUUCUUCCCUGUCAAAUGGUGGAGGGAGGCAUUCUUUCUAACUCCAGCAUCUUAAUUGUCUUGUUCUGGGUGAAGAUGGCCCAUAGCUGGGAGAGCAAGUACUUAGAAGACCUGGUGCCUUCAUAGAAGUCAAGAACCACCAAGCAUCACACUCAAGGUGAUUUUCUCAGGCUCAUUUAUUUAGUUAGUGUAUGAAUUAGUGAGGAGCUGCAGCUCCUGAGCAAUCAGAGUCAUUUUAGUAUUUAAUGAUCUCAGUUGUGAAGACUUGCCAUUUAAGAUAUUCGUGCUUUAGGCUGUGAGUCAGUCAGCUGUCCGUUAUUGUGACAAAAAUACCUGAGAAAAUCAACUGAAAGCAGGAAAGGUUUGUUUUCGAAGUUCCAUUUUAUAGUCACUUGGCCCCAUCACUUUGGGCCUAUAGUGAGGCAGAACCUCAUUGGGGGAACACAUGAUGGAGCGAAGCUGCUCACUUCAUGAUGACUACAAGGAAAUAGAGGGAGAGGAAGGUACCCAGUAUCUCCUUCAAGGGCAUCCCCCAAUGACCUGACUUCUUCCCACACAACUGCACCUCUUAAAGGUUACACUGCUUCUCAGAGGCGCCACUUAACCAGAGACCAAGUCUUUAACACAUGAGCCUUUGGAGAAUCUUAGAUCCAAAUCCCAACAGGUUGAGAUGAUGGAAGUAUUAGCCACCUUUUUGCCACUGUGACCAAAAUAUCUAAUGAGAACAAUUUAGAGGAGGACAAGUUUCCUUGAGGCUGUUUCUGAGAUUCUGUCCGUGAUCCACUGACUCCAUUGCUCUAGGCCUGAGGCGAGGCAGAACAUCAUGGUGGAAGGGUGAAGUGGAGAAACACCUCUCCAUGAUGGUGGCCAGGAAACAGAGUGAGAGGAAGGGGCCACAGGAAAGAUGGAUCCUCCUAGGGUGGACCCCAGUGAGCCACCUCCAGUCACACGUCCCCUGCCUACUGUUGCCACCCAGUGAGUCCAUUCAACCUAGGAUGGACAGCUUGGGUUACUGCCCUUCUCUGCACUCACUGUAAGGACACAUUGCUUUUAUUAAUGACCUGACUUUUACAACUGUCUUUCAAUCCUUAUAAGAAAAGAUUUAUUUAUUUCUCCCCCCAUGGUUUUUGUAAAAUACAUAGACCAAGAAUUUCCACUUAAAGGGGAAAAAAAUCAAGAUGGUAAGUUCUAGUGAGUUCCCUGGUCAGUUAGCGCAUGGUGGCAGGUGGGGACAUAUUGUUCAGGCCUGUGGAGGCCAGACCGUCACCCUGGACUGCACCCUACCUUGGCCCCUCUGGGUGACCUCCACCAUAGGGUAGACCACCUCAGUAUUUCUUUGCUCCCAUCACUACAGAGAGACCCCCCAAGAAGCUCACUGGGUCACUCAGUUGCAUGGGCCCCUCAGGACAAAAUGAACCAAGAGCCCCUUCAAUGAAGGCCCCUGGACAUUUCAGUAAAAAGCAGAUGCCUGAGAACUCUGACUAGACCUCCUUCUACCCUGCCUACACUGGUAGACAGGAGAAGGGGACCUGGGCCUCCUCUCGGUUUGUCUUAGAGAAUUAGCCCUCAUUCCUUCUCCCACCUUUCAAGGGCAGUGAGCAAGCUGGGGGUUUCAGGUAUCUCCUAGGACUGCUUAGUCUUUUCAUGGACCCAAAGUUUCUGUUCUUAUGCAAACGUAAUGUACAUCUGUUCCCCAAAAUGCACUGUUUUCCUUGGGGGCCUUAUCUAGUGCUUUACGAAAAAAAUUCUAAUAUAUUAGACUUAGCAGCCUGAUCUCGAGUGUAUUCAGAUGUGUAUGUGUGUGUGUGUGUCUGUGCGUGUGUGUGCACGUGCAUAUGUAUAUAUGUGUCUACAUGGAUCUGUAUUGUGUGUAUGUGUGUAUGUGUGUGUGUGUGUGUGUGUGUGUGUUUUCUUGCUGGCCUUACUCAAGUGUCUCCCAAACGUCACAUGCAGCCACACCAGUUGUACUGAGCUGUGUUCAGAGUCCCUGUUUUUUUUUAUAUGUCUCUAAAAGACCUGACAAUUUCAAAACCAAUCACAUUGGGUGGAAACUCAAGGGGUACGUUUUGGAAAAAAAGAAAAAAGAGAGAAGAAUCUUCACUAUCAAUUGCCCAUCUAUUUUAGGUAAACAACCAGAUACUGCCAGGCCACCAUGAACCUCUUUACCUCUUUACGUUUGUCUCUAUGAGAUGCUCUCUACCUUAAGAUGGUUUAUUUUUCUUUCAGAGUCUUUUUGGAAGGGCCUUACCAGGAGCUCUCUGAAAAGUGGAGUAAAUUAUGUCAACCGGAUAAACACUGUUUUCAGUUUUAUCGACCUAGAAAUGAUAACUGUAAUAUUUCCUGCAAAUGUCUUGAUUCGGCAGAAGUUGCACUUGUGAUAGUUAAUGCACAAUUUGAAGAAUUCAUUCCCAGGUACAGAAACACAUUGGAGGAACACAGCAGCCAUAGGAGACAAAUGAGCCCAAUGAGAAAUUCUGCUACCCUGCUCCUGCCGGGAUUUACCUUGCUCUCCACUUUUUCUGCCUGGUUUUCUUUUUAACCUCAGAGGUAACGAUGGGUCCAUUGGAUAAAAAAAUGGGAAGGAAACUGGUUAAUUCGGGAGGUUUCUGAGUGUUCUUUUGACCACAUAGUGUUGGCUGUGUCCAGAGUGAGUAUGAUGAAACCAUAAAGUGUCAGCCCUGAGAGACCACAAGGUUGAAGGCCAGACCAUCCUGGAGAAAGUGGAUACCUCUCUAGGAAGCUUCUAGAACAGUCUCCAAGGAGGGCCAGCUCUGACCUGCAGGGGGGUGAAUCAAUGUUCUCUGGCAGGUAGGUCGCUGGGGCACAGUGUCAGGGAGGCAGAGGGGGUGGCCGUCAGCACUCAGAAGCCUGGCCAAGGGAGCAGGAACUCAACAGCGGAGACCUAAGACUGAGACAGGAAGAAGCAAAGGGGUGCUGGGCCAAGGGCUUCCUCCCCUUCCAAGGCAGCUGUAAGGACUCAGAAUGUUCCUCCAGGUCUAUGUUUCUCAGCCUUCCAAAUCCUCAUGCCAGUUAGAUCCAAACCUAGCCGAGAAGGAGGUCCCUGCAUUUGUUCUCUUGCCUUUAGCCUGCCUUCGGGGGAAUGAUGGUCCCAGUCGCCUGCACCUCCAGCCAGCCUGGCACAGUCUGAAGAACGUGGACUUGAGGCCGGAUGAGGUCAGAUUUCAUCUGGACUAAGAGCCCAAGCAAACACCUCCAAUUCCUAGCGGCUUGGGUUGGAGGUCACGUGAGAGAUGGUGGUAUCUUCCAAAGUUCAGUCCUGACCAAACACCCUGUGUUUUUUAUUCACUCCAUUUUACUUAGCUUUUUUUCCCAUCACCUUGUCCAUCAGUGGCACACGGAUCACCCCGUGGGAAAUGGUGAGACUGCGUCACUGCACCACCUGUCUCAGAGACGGACUUACGGUUGUGUCUACCCCUCUGCUUCAUGGCCUUGAGUGCUCUGCCUCACCCCUCCCCACCUCACCCCGCCCCACCUCACCCCUCCUUGAACCUGAGUGAAGCCCCUGCUGAUCUCUGUCCCACACCUGCUGGAGAGACCUGUUCCAACUGAGACGGCUUCUCUGGAACGCCACGGUCUCACACUUGACUGCAGGCAUGGCCUUCACCUGUGGGUCCAGAUGCCUCACCUGGGUCACCCAGUCAGGCCCCCUGAUGUGGGUGCGGCGCAUAUUAGUCCUCAGAGCAUCAGGAACUUUGAACUCUGUUGCCCACCCUCCUGCAGGAUCAGCCCUACAAACCUGCAUUGCACUCUGGAGCCCCUGCCCGAGAGGCUUUCUGUCCCAGCUCAUCACUAAAACUCCAGCCCACCUGUAUCCAAAAGAGCCCUGGGCAGCGGGGAGGACCAACACCAGCACAGAAGUAAGACCAGGCAUUGCAUUUGGGAGCUGGAGGGACCUCACUCUAGAGCACGUCUGUCACUGUCACUCAGACCAAGAUGUCUGUUAUCACCUCCCAGGUAUCUCUCCUAUUCUCUCUGAUUCGGUAUCACCCAACGGCAAAACUCCUGAGAAAUUCUGACUUUUCUUUUUAGAACUGAAUUUGUCUAUUUUGUAUGUUGUUGAAAAAAGAGAAGAAAAGGAAUCCAGCAACAGAGGGUGAUCCCAGGCCACUCAGGAUCAGAAUGAAAACCCACAUCUGGAUUGUACUAAGCCUUUAUUCCUAGAGAAGCCACUAGUUACCUCUUCACCCAGAACUGGGGGACCUGAGGCCUCUGUUGCCCAAACCUAGCAGGUGCUUACAAAUUAUUCAUUUUGGUAGAGGCACAUGUGGGAGAGAGGGAAAAGGAGCUUCCUUUUGCUCACCUGGUUUUAUCUUCCAACCUAGAACAGGGAGGAGAGGGGAGGGAGGAGUUUAGGGACAGGAGCCACCUUUCAGCCUGCCAACCCAUCCCUGGAGCAUUAUCUGUCAGCCCUCAAACCUCUGCAUGCUGAGCAAUGUACACUCCUCAGAAAAGCACAGGACAGCCCCAGAGCCAGGCAUCCACGCAAUGAUUAGGCUGCCUCUUGGUCUCAAGCAAAGGAAUCAUUGGUACUGGAAAGGAAUGAAGAAUUUGGGGGGGAAAAUCAGUCUUUUCGUCUGCACAGUGUUGAAACAUUUGGAUCAAACAUGAGACAUCACUUCAAGCCAGAUGUUUUCUAGGCAUUUCCACCAAGUUUCGAUAUUUGGAAACACUAAAUAUGUACUGACAUUUCAGUAUCUUUUCAAAGACCAAAACAUAGAAGCCAAUAAACGCUUCCUUUCUGAGACCUUAUAAAGAUAGACGAAGAGAUAGACUUGGCGAGGUUUAAAACCACAACUUAUGUGGCUACUUGAAAUAGCUGAGAAAAAAAAAUAUGUUUUCCUAAGUGUUAUGGACUGAAUGUCCAUGUCCUCCCCAAAAUACAUAUGUUGAAAUCUCAUCCCCACCAGUGGUGGUUUUUAGAGGUUGAGACUUUGGGAGAUGAUGAAUGUCAAGGUGGAGCCUUCAUGAAAGGGGUUAGGGUCCUCAAAGAAGAGACCAGAGAACUAGCUCCAACCAUUUCACCAUGUGAAGACACAAGGAGAAAUCGGCAGACUGCAACUCAGAGGGCCCUUACCAGAACCCAGCCAUGCUGCAUCUUGAUCUUGGAAUUGCAAUCUCUGGAACUGUGAGAGGUGCCAGAUUGGAAUAACAUCAUGUCCCACAAUUUCUGUACCUUUCUCUGAGUUAAAGUGCUUACUAAGAGGUAAGGAUUUUGAAAGCUAAUACAGGAUACAGGGAGAAUGUAUUCUAGCAGUCCACUUGGGGAAAUCAAAACUUUUUUUUCCCUGUUAAAUUUUUCAUGGGUUUCCUGCUAAUAGUAUGACAGGUAUCUGACAGCAGAACCAGAAGAUAAAAUAGAUACAGAAAGCUAUUCCAUUAGUGAUAGGAAAGAAUUAGGCAGGAGAGUAUUCAGCAAGUCCUGAAAAUUCUCCCUGUAGAAUGAAUGCAGGAGAGAUAAAACCAAUGAGUUUUGACCAAAUCAAGAAAUCCAGGUUCUACUCGGAGGAGCAGAAUGAACAAGUGAUGUGGACAAGGCCCUCAUGAAGUUGACCCCUCCCUGAGGGGAGGAUUGGGCAGAACCAACAUACAAUCAGUAUUUGUGUGCACCAGUGUGUGUGUGUGUGUGCAUGUGUGUGUGUGUCUAUGUGUGAGUGUCUGUGUGUGUGUGUGUUUGUGACACAGGAAAUUCCACCACUGCCGCUCAGCAGAAGGAGGCCAGAGCAGAGCCUUGGGACAGCCCCUUGUUUCUCAUUUCCCUUUCCUAACAAUAAUGGGAGCAAUUGGAAAAAGACCCAUUUUUCCCCUCUGAGCUUGGGGAUAUGGUAUUUUGGCAGAAUGAAGAGAAUCAGACCCCUAAGACCCCUAUAGAAUUGGUCUAUAUGUGGCGUGUCACACGCUAUAAUGGGUUUGCAUGGGGCUGUAUCGGAUUAAAUACCCCAAAUCCCAGUCAUCCUUUAGCAUAUGAAAAUAUUGGCUUGGACAAGAUUUGUCAGAAAUGAAUAUCACGCGGGAUACUGAAGACUGGCCGUCAAGAGAGAAGGUAGAAAGCCAGUCAUUAUUGUUUAGGGAACAUUAUUAUUUAGGUUAGAGAGAGGGAGAAUGUUUGUUUUGCUGUUUGUGAUUAUGAUCCAACAAAAAGGGAGGAUGUGUGUGAUUUCCCAAUUUACAAACAGGAGGGAGGCACUUGGAGCUUUUCCAAUGCUCUUGUCCUAGCUGUGCUUCCUGCAUUUGACAGGGGGCAGGGAAUCACGAUGCCAUGCUAGUCAAGGACUACUGAUACCCAGUGGGAUUCGGUUGUCUGGGAUGGACAGCGAGUUCAAGGUACUCCUGACCAUACAGGUGAGAUAGUCUAUUCCCAGAUAGGUCUGUAUGUGCAUCUCUAUUCAGGAGCCAAGUAAAUCCUUGAUUUGCAUCAGAUAUAAGAAUCACAAAAGCAAAAAACAUCAUUACAAACACAAGUAGAAGCCAUAUAAGGUAGCUUGCCCACAGAUUGAAUAAGGGAGGUGGCCUAAGGCCCCCCACCCAUCAAUACCAAGCAAGGCACUCGCCUGUAAUCCCAGCAGCUCAGGAGGCUGAGGCAGGAGGAUCAUGAGUUCCAAGCCAACCUCAGCAAAAGCCAGGUGCUAAGCAACUCGGUGAGAUCCUGUCUCUAAAUACAGAAUAGGGCUGGAGAUGUGGCUCGGUGGUCGAGUGCCUUUGAGUUCAAUCCCUUGUACCACCCCACCCCCCCAAAAAAAAAAUGAGCAAGGCAGCAAGAAGGUUUCUGUUGUCUGUGCACCAUAGGAUUGGGUGGCACCACUGGAGGACUGGAAUGAGCAUACCUCAGACCAGGGCCAUAAAAUAUGUACACUGCAUAGGGUGAGGUUACACAUUAGCAAGUGACAACUGCACAUCAAAUAAAGGUGUCCUCAGUCUGCACAAAUAGAUAGGGAAAAAAAUACGGAAUGGUAAAGAAGAAAGAAGAACCACGCACAGAACCAUUUCAUUUUAUUCCUUAUAUGUACAAACAUGAAUAAUUUGACAUGAUGUUUAGACAGUUUCUCCCUAACUUAAGUCUUUUAAUUAAAAUGAAAGGAAGGAAAUAUGCUUUAAAUAUGAAUGCAAGAGGUGUGAGCUGACAGCCCCCAGCCUUCCUAUUCCUCUUUCUCUGUUGUUAGCGAACACAAUAAAAUCUCGUCUUCUUCCUGCCGUCUUUUCAUAAUGUUUAUGGUUGUUUUAGGUAACACAUAAACCAUGCUGAAUGUGAUAUUCCCCUUAUUACAUGUCAGGGGCACAUAUUAAACUAGAGCCUGUCCCUUAUCCUGCUAUUUACUUUUGAGGCAAAUCAGUCAAUGUAUUUUCCUCGACUCACCAGGCAAUAUUACAGGGCCCACUAGGCCAGGAAGGUAAAUGCUAACUGUUCAGCUUGGGCCAGGCGCCACGCCCUCGGCUCACCAUGGAGUGAAUGAGAGCAGUAUAUUCUGGGCUGAAAAACGGGAUCGGAUGUUGGCCCUCAUAAAUUACGUGAUUAUUAAAAUGCUGCACAGUUCCAACCCAUAUUAUUUUAUUUUACCUUUUGCCGGCUCCCUGGUUGCCUGGUCCACUUUGCCUCUGUUUUCUGUGUGCUUAACUUGUAAAAUGCUAAACAAGUUUUGAUAUUUACCUGUUUAUGAUUAAAUUGCAAAAUGAUCUGCUUAGUUCUGUUCUAAAUUAAGGUCUGCAUUAAAUGUCAUAGCAUUUAUCUUUCAUAAAAUGAGACAGCAAGGACACUAAUUUCCUAGGUAUUCAAUCACUGCCUAGUGCCACUGGAGAGACAGCCCGGGAGCGAGCCUGCCCACAGUUCACAGCUCACUGACAGCCCUGAGAUGGAAUCAUAAAAGUCAAUUAAUCAUUAAAAGCUGUUACAAGCACAUAUCGAACCAGUCUGGCACAAAAUGUUAAUCAGUCCAAUAUCAAUAUAAUAAAUUCCUGCAAAUUGGAGCGAUCGAUACGUUUAGGGCCUAAUGAAUCAAUUUGAGGGCACUGGGCUGCUCCUUGGGGUCCCCAUGACAUGGCAGCCGGGCGAGUGCUACAUCUCUAGGCGCACUGCCAACAGAGGUCACCUAUCCUAACAGGCUGUUCACUUCAGCCGCAGUUACCACGGUGACAGCAUGUCACCGUUGCCCUAGUGUCCUUCUAGGUAAGGGGGAAGCCGAUGCAUCACUGCUCUUGAUGGAUUCGUCAAUAAUACUUAGCGGGGGUGGGGGACCGCUCACACAACACUCGCAGUCUCCCGUCCCUGGGCAGUGCGGUGUGAUUUAAUUGUCUGAAGAGGUGUGUGCGUCUGCAUAUAUGCAGGAACUAAGCAGUGGUCACAGGCAGAGGGACUUGGCUGCACGUGGAAAGCCUUGGGAAAAGAGCACAGAAACUAACAGGCGGCCAGAGCGAUGGCCAGGUUGGUGUUACAUUAACUAAGUCGCUGUGCCAGGAAGAAAUAACCUGGAGCUUCUCGGAUUAACAAUUUAUUAGCUACAACAUUUUAAUACAUUACUCAUGAGUGGAAAUGGAGUUGCGUCUGAAUGCCCCCGAGGCUCAGCUCAGCAGGGUUCCCAGACACCUGCUUACCCACUGUGGGUGCUCACCAGGGAAAGCCAGCAGGGGUGAUUAGUGGGUCUCCCCCGUCCCCCACCAGCCCUCCAUCCCUCUCUUUCUCAUUUGUUCCCCCACCCCACCCCCACCGUUACCUGAAGACUCCUCCACUUGGACCAAACCAGCCAUGAGACUGAAAGCUUGAAGCCCCAAAAUGGGAUUUCAAACUGGCCUCUUCCUCAUCUGUCUUGAAAAAUCAGUAUUUUCACGUUGUGAUACACUUUAUCUGGUGUUCCCAUUAAAACUGACCAGUGAGCGGAGCCCAGAGCAGUUUUGGAAUUGCCAAGUGGAAUGAAGCCUCUUUACAGAUAAAGGAAAUCUCUGCUGCCGAGACUCUGGUGAAUCACUGUGUUCCGGAACCUUCACUGUCAUUUAACAUAAAACUUAAAGGUUAACACUGAGUAAAACAAGACCCUGCCUGAUUAUUUGAAUAGUCUCAAAGUGCAACUCUUUCCCCUGGAUUGCUCUUACAGAAUGCAUGGAGUUCAGGAGUCCCUGGGUGGUUGUAUACGUUCCUGCCAUACUGGGGAGGAUGCUUCUGUUGGCUUUCAUCCCCAACAGUCAUUGUAUGCAUCUCCCUUGCAGUCAUUUAUUCCCUUCUAGAAAAAGAAAAAAAAGGUAGCGAUGCCAAUCCAAAGAAAUGUUAAUUUCUACUAGCUAGUUAUUUUAAAAGAUUUUUUUUCCUUACCUGGAAAGAGAGAGAGAGAGAGAGAGAGAGAGAGAGAGGGAGAAAAUCAUUUUUUUUAAUAAUAGUGGUCUGAAUUAUAGGAAACAUCAAAAUAAAUUACAAAUUCUCCACUAAAGAAAUAACCAUUCAACACAUUGAGACAGGGUGAUGUUAAGGGUGUGCAGACAAAGGUAAUGCAGUGCCUCCGCUUAAUUGCCCUGACAUCCUGCUCCGUUCCUCCAGCUACACUCUGAGAGCUAAAAAUCUCUCAUUGUUAUUAAUUGUAUUCCUUUUAGAAUGUAAUGUCAUAUCGCUGCAGGCUGAGCUAAUGAAACAUACCCAUAUUACCAAAAUAGGCAUAUUUCUUUUUGUUCAACGUGUUCUAUCAAAACUGUCUACUAAAGACAUUGUGUUAAAGAUCUUUUCAUAGAGUAAUAUAAAGAACAUCUCAACUACUUCAACAUUUCUAUUACCCGAUUACUAAAAUGCCCAGGAGGACUCGACGAUAUAGUGUGAAUUCAGUUAUCCUAUAAGACUUUAGAAAUAUUGCUAAUUCCUGCCUCUGAUUUAUGUUAAUAUUAAUGCUAGAUUACAUGCUAUAGCCUCUGAACUCCCGCGGCAUACCGAUUCUCACAAAGGCCCGGCGCUCCCAUGCGCCCCAGCUAUAUGCCUCUAUUAUAAUGAGAAUCUGAAUUAUUUAUCUCUAUUUAUCCUACAGGAGUUCACUCGACCCCAGUCCGGUUUUCUUUUCCUACUGCACAUCAAUGCGUGUAAACAUGACUUCAGAGCUGCUGCGCAAU